GUAAAAGGCGUGAGGUUGCAGACUGGACAGAGAGCCUCCCGCGUUCCGAUAUGCCUGUGCCCUCUGGAGAAGACAAGUGAAGAAGUGUCCCGCCGGGGCAUCCACUUCAGGUUGAAAUCUGUGUCAGAAUCCGUAUGGAUGGUUUCUUGCACCCAAUGGCUGACAACAGACUUCAAAGCAUCUCCAAAGCUAACAGUUUAGAGGAUCAAGUACGGGAUUUAAAAAUGACAGUUUGAAUGACUGUUCGGGAGACAUUGCCUAACUUCUUCCUACAACCACGAGGAGACCAUACCAACUGAUGUUGUACAUUAGUCUGUUUUCCUUUACAAACCAUUUGAAGAUCAAAUGAGCGUUUCUGAAGAUUCCAUAAUGUGCCAGCACAGCUCAGCUAUGGAGAGGACCUCAUAGCAUGAAGCAUCAUAACAGCAGACCAAAAAGAAUGGAGAGAUCACAGGUCAUCAUAAGGAGUCAGAGAUCAUGCUCACUCUUCUAGCAACUCAUUCCCAUAGGGUGUCAGUGUCACCCUCCAAAUGACACAGGGACGUCUCAUCAGGACCCACCUCUUAAAAGUCUCACUUCUCAACAACAACACACUAAGGACCAAGCUCUGAAAGACAAGAAGGUUAAGGACAACUGCAUAUAACAUAUAGGGUCCAGCUUGCUUUGUCCAAUGCAAAAGUCAGGACAAGAGACUGCUGUGAUAAAUACACAGAGGGACAGGAUACACUUUUGGAAGGACAAUAGGCUGGAAGGUGAAGGAGAAAUUGGAAGAAAAUAGAAGAAGCUGAUCUUGGGCUGCCAAACAAAGUUGUCUCUUCAAUUAGGAAAGAGAAAAGAUUUCAUCAUCCAUUGUAUUCACUGAAACCAUUAUGUCCUAGACAUGAAAAGGGGGGGGGAUAUUUUGUAAUAUAUGUAAUAUGCAUAUCACAGUAGGAUUUACAGAUUGUGCAUAUAUGGGUCAGAAAAAAAUGUGAGUGAAUUUAAAAUGGCAAAAAAAGGAAAGAAAAAAGAGGGAGGAGAGGGAAGCAAGUUGACCCCAAGCCUCCAUUAGAGUGAUUUCUAACUUUCUUUGUCUUUUUCUACACUAGACAGAAGACAUUCAGUAAUGGAAAAGUUUGUUGCCCACAGUGGUACAAAUGAUACCUGAGCAUACAAGCAAAAAUAGUCCUCCCCCACCAGUGAAAAAAAUCUCUGAAAGUUUAGCUCUCUUCCAGCAAGUAGAAUUCCAUUCUGGCACCCCUGUUACUGUUAAGUUAAAGGAAAUCUUUGACAUGUGUUAGCUUUACAUUUAUAGAAGGGUCAUGAUUUUCCUCUUUAAAAAAAUAUUAUCCUUGGCCUGUGUACAUAGCUCACUUUCAAAACAUUUUCCUGAAUGCACAAGGCUAUAGGUUCAUUUCCCAGAAUCACCCUAAAAUAAAAAAAUCCUAAUUAAAUCUGAUGGUCCACACCACAGUGGGAGGCGAAGGCAUCAGGAUUCUGAGUUAGAGGCCAGACCUACACAUUUAUAUAGUGAAAGCAUGUCUCAAACAAACAAACAAACAAAAAAAAACAUUUUUCUUUAAAACAAAUGCUGAAUAUUAUUUGAACAAUAUUAUUUCUCUUUUUAUCUCUCACUCCCUUUCCUGCUCUUUCUUAUCUUUCCACUCUACUUAAUCUCUAGAGUUAAAAACAAAAACAUUAGAACACACUUUGCAGAGUUGAUACCCAUGACAAACAAAGGGGACCACCGCAGAAUUAGGUCAUUUUAUGUCACAACUACCAGAAACUGUAUUACUAAGAAGAAUGCUUCAAAAAUCUUUAUCAGAGACUAAGGAUAC